rnacentral:lncRNA from 1 species
CUUCUGUUCAGAGUAAGCAAAACUUGCACUCAGAUUCAUACUGGGCCUUUAUUCAGCAUCACAAUACAUACGUUCAUCUGACUCCCAAGUCCUUGCAAGUAGUUUGCAAACCUCAGCUGGAUCUCUAAAUUACAAAUACACUGUAUUGAGAGGGUUAAGUGCUACAGAGUAAAAUUAUAAAUAGUUGCUGAAUGAACAAGAAGAUGCUAAGCUUACUCACUGGACAUCGUGAAGAAGCAAGUGUGUUCAGAAUCUUAUCUCUGAAGUUAAGAUGGUGCAGAGGAGCCUAAAUCCUAUACUGUGAACCUGUGUGAAUGUCUGGCUUCUUAUGCACUCAGGAAAGAGUUAGCUCUGGUCUGUUCCAUCAUGUAUUGCGACUUUCUUGGACUCAUAAAAGGCAUGACUUAUACCAACCGGAAUUGAGUGGAGGCACACUCUGGACAGAAAAGACGAUUCCUCAGGUGAAAUCCUCUUCAAAAGGGUGCUGCAACUUGGCCUCCUGCUGCCUAACAGCCUCAUGA